GGAGAGAUCGCAUAGUGGACGAGUGCGCAGGCCUGGAAAGCUUGUAUGGCCGCAAGGUCAUCGAGGGUUCGAAUCCCUCUCUCUCCN
rfam:Candidatus Roizmanbacteria bacterium RIFCSPLOWO2_01_FTLL_45_11 rifcsplowo2_01_scaffold_20677, whole genome shotgun sequence.